CAGGGUAAGGUGUUACGGUAGCACAUGUGGUCUGGAGCCAUGAGGCCCAGGUUCAACUCCUGGUGCCCUGA
rnacentral:tRNA from 1 species